UGUUGUCCAAGGUAAAUUCACACUAAAACUAUUCAUUCCUAACACUUCAACGAAAAGUUUGAAAAUCCAUACGUUAACA
rnacentral:sRNA from 1 species